rnacentral:rRNA from 1 species
GUUCGGUCCCUAUCUGCCGUGGGCGCUGGAGAACUGAGGGGGGCUGCUCCUAGUACGAGAGGACCGGAGUGGACGCAUCACUGGUGUUCGGGUUGUCAUGCCAAUGGCACUGCCCGGUAGCUAAAUGCGGAAGAGAUAAGUGCUGAAAGCAUCUAAGCACGAAACUUGCCCCGAGAUGAGUUCUCCCUGACUCCUUGAGAGUCCUGAAGGAACGUUGAAGACGACGACGUUGAUAGGCCGGGUGUGUAAGCGCAGCGAUGCGUUGAGCUAACCGGUACUAAUGAACCGUGAGGCUUAACCUUACAACGCCGAAGGUGUUU